rnacentral:rRNA from 1 species
CGGGAGCUUGCUCCCGAUGAGAGUGGCGCACGGGUGCGUAACACGUAUGUAACCUACCUUAGUCAGGGGGAUAGCCUCUCGAAAGAGAGAUUAAGACCGCAUAACAUCAUUGAAUGGCAUCGUUUGAUGAUCAAAUAUUUAUAGGACUAAGAUGGGCAUGCGCAACAUUAGCUAGUUGGUGUGGUAACGGCAUACCAAGGCUACGAUGUUUAGGGGAUCUGAGAGGAUGACCCCCCACACUGGUACUGAGACACGGACCAGACUCCUACGGGAGGCAGCAGUAAGGAAUAUUGGUCAAUGGACGGAAGUCUGAACCAGCCAUGCCGCGUGCAGGAAGACGGCCCUAUGGGUUGUAAACUGCUUUUGCAGGGGAAUAAACCUUCUUUCGUGAAAGAAGUUGAAUGUACCUUGAGAAUAAGGAUCGGCUAACUCCGUGCCAGCAGCCGCGGUAAUACGGAGGAUCCGAGCGUUAUCCGGAUUUAUUGGGUUUAAAGGGUGCGUAGGCGGCCUGUUAAGUCAGGGGUGAAAGACGGUAGCUCAACUAUCGCAGUGCCCUUGAUACUGAUGGGCUUGAAUGUACUAGAGGUAGGCGGAAUGUGACAAGUAGCGGUGAAAUGCAUAGAUAUGUCACAGAACACCAAUUGCGAAGGCAGCUUACUAUGGUAUGAUUGACGCUGAGGCACGAAAGCGUGGGGAUCAAACAGGAUUAGAUACCCUGGUAGUCCACGCCCUAAACGAUGAACACUCGAUGUUGGCGAUAUACGGUCAGCGUCUAAGCGAAAGCGUUAAGUGUU